GGCUGUGUCCCAAUUCCUAGGACGCAUCCUUCGAAGGCUGCAUUCGAAGGAUGCGUCGACGCCGAUUGCGUCACAGCGUCGCGCCAAGUGCUGUCCCAAUUCCAAGGGUCCUUCAAAUGCGGCCUACGAAUGCAGCCUUCUUUUCCCGGAUUUGAAGGAUGCAUCGGCUGUAUCCUUCACGGCCCAACGUAUCCCAAGAUCCUUCACGGCCCAACGUAUCCCUCCCAAGAUUCAUUGCGCAUUCAAUCAAUGGAGAUGGCGGAGAAUGGCGAUUUAAGUUCUGCAUUUAAAUGGGGCCAGCAGCAUACGGCUCGAUUUAUUCUAUUGAGGGGGGAGAAUGAUGAGCUGUUCACCGGGGUGAAAUACUCAGCAAGUGUGGCUUGGGGGUAAAGAAACAAUCGUUUAUUUAUAUCGACAAUUCUGGAGAAAAUAGGCCUGCAGGGGAAGGUGUCUCCCCCGCAGGCAAAGAAAAACUUUUGCUGAAAUUUGUUUUGAUACUGCUCUUGUUGUUAACUGCCAUGAUUGAUUUCCUCUGCCUUAGGAUUGCAAGUAUCCAGGGUCAGGAGAGGGGGUAGGUGGGAAACCCACUGCUGCCACUUGGCCCUGGUUUGUCCCCUUUGAUAAGGUAUUGUGACAUAUGCAUUCCACCAACCCCCCUGUCCUAAUUGCCUCCAUCCCUGAGAACACACCAGGGCCAAGUACAGCAAGUACAGCAGUGGUGGAUCAGGAGGUUGAGGACAAGAUCAGGAGGAGGAAAGACAGCGAGGGCCAAGGUCCAGAAAGAGGGACAGAGAGGAAGACAUGUUCCAGAGUCGCUCACUAUCUUCCGAAAAGGACUCAAGAUUCACCUGUUCAGAGUCCACCUCGACUGCAUAGCCACCCUCCCCCUUCUGGCAACCAUUGUACACUGUGUUGUAUUGUAUUAUAGUACUUAACUGUGUAGCAACUGCAGUAGCUGCUAUCAUGGCUGUAACACGGGGAAUGGGUUAGCCUAGCGAUUGUGGUACUUGCACUUGGUUCUAUGAACAUCCUUUCUGUACCGACAGCGAUAUAUUGAUGCACUUCUUAUGACAAAUGUACUUAUUGUAAGUCGCUUUGGAUAAAAGCGUCUGCUAAAUGCCCUAAAUGUAAAUGUAAAAUGUCAAUGUUCCAGUUAAUAAAAGAGGACAUGAGGCUACAAAGGGA